AGGUCAAGUUAAUAAGGGCAUAGGGAGAAUGCCUUGGCACUGAGAGCCGAAGAAGGACGUGACAAGCUGCGAAAAGCUGCGUGUAGGUGCAAAUAACCGAUUGAAGCGCAGAUGUCCGAAUGGGGAAACCCGGCAGGGAGAAGCCCUGUCACCCACAGAUGAAUAAAAUAGUCUGUGAGGAGGGAACCUGGGGAACUGAAACAUCUAAGUACCUGGAGGAAGAGAAAGAAAACUCGAUUUCCCUAGUAGCGGCGAGCGAAAGGGAAACAGCCCAAACCCAGCACAUAAUUGUGCUUGUGAGGCGAAAAUAUGUUUUGUGAUUAAAUCAGGAAGCAUAGCUAAGUCAAAAGGCAAGUAGAAUUAUGUGCUGGGGGUUCGGAAUAUACAAUAAAAGGUAUUAAAUCAUAGCCGAAUGAACUGGGAAGUUCAACCGUAGAGAGUAAGAGUCUCGUAGGCGAAAUGAAGAGAUACAAAGUAUAUAUCCAGAGUACCACGGGACACGUGAAACCCUGUGGGAACAAGGGGGGACCACCCCCCAAGGCUAAAUACUACUCAGUGACCGAUAGCGCAUAGUACCGUGAGGGAAAGGUGAAAAGAACCCCGGAAGGGGAGUGAAAUAGAACCUGAAACCCUAUGCUUACAAGCAGUGGGAGCGGGCGUAAGCCUGUGACCAUGUACUUUUUGUAGAACGGACCAGCGAGUUACGAUAUGUAGCAAGGUUAAUAUUUUAAGGAUAGGAGCCGUAGGGAAACCGAGUCUUAAUAGGGCGAGAAGUUGCAUAUUGUAGACCCGAAACCGUGUGACCUACCCAUGUCCAGGGUGAAGCGUGAGUAAAAUCACGUGGAGGCCCGAACCGGUGUCUGUUGAAAAAGGCUCGGAUGAGGUGUGGGUAGCGGAGAAAUUCCAAUCGAACACGGAGAUAGCUGGUUCUCCCCGAAAUAGCUUUAGGGCUAGCGUCAAGGGAUGAAUAGUGGAGGUAGAGCACUGAAUUGGCUAGGGGGCGUAUAGCUUACCGAACCAUAUCAAACUCCGAAUGCCAUAUAUUUUACCUUGGCAGUCAGACUACGUGAGAUAAGUUUCGUAGUCGAAAGGGAAACAGCCCAGAUCAUCAGCUAAGGUCCCAAAGUGUAAGUUAAGUGGGAAAGGAUGUGCAAUUGCUAAGACAACUAGGAUGUUGGCUUAGAAGCAGCCACUCAUUUAAAGAGUGCGUAAUAGCUCACUAGUCGAGUGAUUGUGCGCCGAAGAUAACCGGGGCUCAAACUUACCACCGAAGCUAUGGCAGUUGAGAGGUUAGAAGUGAGAAGUUAGAAGUUAGAUACUGUGCACUACGUGCACGGUAAAAAGACAUGACGUAAGAGUCAUGGCAGUAAGUCUAACAUCCGACAUCUGACUUCUUGCCUCUCAACUGGGUAGGGGAGCAUUGUGUACGAGGUGAAGCUUAACUGGAAGGUUAGGUGGAUUUUACACAAGAGAGAAUGCUGGUAUGAGUAGCGAAAGUUAAGUGAGAAUCUUAACCAUCGAAAGUCUAAGGUUUCCUGAGGAAGGUUCGUCCGCUCAGGGUAAGUCGGGACCUAAGCCGAGGCCUAUAGGCGUAGGCGAUGGAUAACCGGUUGAAAUUCCGGUACCACCUUAAGCGUCUGAGAGAUGGAGUGACACAGGAGGAUAAGCUAACCGCUCGAAUGGAAGAGAGCGGCCAAGCGACAAGUAGGGAAGCAUAGUCAAAUGCGUGCUUCUAUUAAACUAUGAGUCGUUAAGGGGACCGAAAAUAAGUAGGGAAGUAGCUGAUUUCACACUGUCAAGAAAAGCUUCUAUCGAGCGAAGAGGUGCCCGUACCGCAAACCGACACAGGUAGACGAGGAGAGAAUCCUAAGAUGAUCGGGAGAAGUGUUGUUAAGGAACUCGGCAAAAUAACCCCGUAACUUCGGGAGAAGGGGAGCCUAACCUGAUGCAAUUUAUUGUAUACAGGAAGGCUGCAGAGAAAUGGCCCAAGCGACUGUUUAACAAAAACACAGGUUUCUGCUAAAUCGAAAGAUGAAGUAUAGGAGCUGACGCCUGCCCGGUGCUGGAAGGUUAAGGGGACUUGUUAGCGCAAGCGAAGCAAUGAACUUAAGCCCCAGUAAACGGCGGCCGUAACUAUAACGGUCCUAAGGUAGCGAAAUUCCUUGUCAGGUAAGUUCUGACCCGCACGAAAGGCGUAACGAUUUGGGCACUGUCUCAACAACACACCCGGUGAAAUUGUAGUACUCGUGAAGAUGCGAGUUACCCGCGACAGGACGGAAAGACCCCGUAGAGCUUUACUGUAGCUUGACAUUGGAUUUUGGUAUUGCAUGUACAGGAUAGGUGGGAGGCUGAGAAGCCGGGACGCUAGUCUCGGUGGAGCUGCCCUUGGGAUACCACUCUUGUAAUACUGAAAUUCUAACCAGUGGCCGUUAACCGGUCAUGGGACAUUGUCUGGUGGGCAGUUUGACUGGGGCGGUCGCCUCCGAAAGAGUAACGGAGGCGCCCAAUGGUCACCUCAGAAUGGUUGGAAAUCAUUCGUAGAGCGCAAAGGCAAAAGGUGGCCUGACUGCGAGAGAGACAUCUCGAGCAGGGACGAAAGUCGGGCUUAGUGAUCCGGUGGUACCGAGUGGAAGGGCCAUCGCUCAACGGAUAAAAGCUACCUCGGGGAUAACAGGCUUAUCUCCCCCAAGAGUCCACAUCGACGGGGAGGUUUGGCACCUCGAUGUCGGCUCGUCUCAUCCUGGGGCUGUAGUAGGUCCCAAGGGUUGGGCUGUUCGCCCAUUAAAGAGGCACGCGAGCUGGGUUCAGAACGUCGUGAGACAGUUCGGUCCCUAUCCGUCGUGGGCGCAAGAUAUUUGAGAGGAGCUGUUCCUAGUACGAGAGGACCGGAAUGGACAGACCUCUGGUGCACCAGUUGUUCCGCCAGGAGCAUAGCUGGGUAGCUAAGUCUGGACGGGAUAAGCGCUGAAGGCAUCUAAGCGCGAAGCCCCCCUCGAGAUUAGAUAUCUCACCCGAAAGGGGUAAGGUCCCUGGUAGACUACCAGGUUGAUAGGUCAGAGGUGUACAUGUAGAAAUACAUUUAGCUGACUGAUACUAAUAGACCGAGGACUUGACCUAAA
rnacentral:rRNA from 1 species